GUCUGGCACAAAGCUAGUGACAGAAUGACUGUUUCUGUGUAUCAGGAUCGGUAGUCAAGGGACGAGGAAAAGGUAGAAGAGAAGUGUGCACAUAUAAAUAUUAAUGAAAAGGAUGUGGUAAACAAGAAGGUAUAAUGACGAUAUGUGAAAUGGUCAAAAAGAAAUAUACAUAUAUCAGUCACGUUGAAGAGCAGAAAUGAAAGUAAUUCCCACUGACUCAUCUUCCAUGGACAGUCUCCAAUGUAUUAACUCUU